rnacentral:rRNA from 1 species
UACGUAGGGGGCAAGCGUUGUCCGGAUUUAUUGGGCGUAAAGAGCGUGUAGGCGGCCUGAAAGGUCAGCUGUGAAGACUCGAGGCUCAACCUCGAGACGUCGGUUGAAACCAUCUGGCUAGAGUCCGGAAGAGGAGUGUGGAAUUCCCGGUGUAGCGGUGAAAUGCGCAGAUAUCAGGAAGAACACCAAUGGCGAAAGCAGCUCUCUGGGACGGUACUGACGCUGAGACGCGAAAGCGUGGGGAGCGAACAGG